GAACGCUGGCGGCGUGCCUAAUACAUGCAAGUCGAGCGAAUGAUUAGAGAAGCUUGCUUCUCUCUGAUUUAGCGGCGGACGGGUGAGUAACACGUGGGUAACCUACCCUAUAGACUGGGAUAACUUCGGGAAACCGGAGCUAAUACCGGAUAAUACUUCGAAACACAUGUUUUGAAGUUGAAAGAUGGUUUCGGCUAUCACUAUAGGAUGGACCCGCGGCGCAUUAGCUAGUUGGUGAGGUAACGGCUCACCAAGGCAACGAUGCGUAGCCGACCUGAGAGGGUGAUCGGCCACACUGGGACUGAGACACGGCCCAGACUCCUACGGGAGGCAGCAGUAGGGAAUCUUCCACAAUGGACGAAAGUCUGAUGGAGCAACGCCGCGUGAGUGAAGAAGGAUUUCGGUUCGUAAAACUCUGUUGCAAGGGAAGAACAAGUAGCGUAGUAACUGGCGCUACCUUGACGGUACCUUGUUAGAAAGCCACGGCUAACUACGUGCCAGCCGCUGC
rnacentral:rRNA from 1 species